CACCACUCGUUCUAUCUUUGGGAAGUCAAAAUUGAUUUUCUUCCACUUGUCACACUAAAAUCUCAACUCUGUCCUUUCUGUUUCACUCUCAAAGAGUUCAGCGGUAUCGGGAUCAAAGGAUUAGGAAGCCGCAGCUUUAAGGGAGGCAAGCAGCAUGAGAAGACUUUGUGGAGGCAGCUCUGAGCAUUUUAUGUAAGCAAUCUAUUUCAGCUUCAAAGGAAGCACUGGCUAAGUGGGUGAACAACAUGUAAAGUGCUCACUUGACAUAAAUUUUUUUUUUUUUAAGUAGCUGAGAUAAAGACAGCCUCCAAUCACUGACCUUUUAUUAUUAGUCAGAGCCCUGAGUACAAGAGAGACUUCAGCAGAGGUGGCCAACGGGCGCCUGCAGAGACUCCAGGCGCGUUCUUGCCUGUUGGUGCAAUAUUUGCAGCUGCGGCACUCUCCUUCAAGUUGUUUGUUCCACUCUCUGCCUGAUGCUAUGGGUAUCUGAUUUCUAUCUCUGGAAACAGCGUGGGAGCCAUGUGGCGGUCAAGGCUGGACUUUAACUGCAAAGGAGCACAUCACAGCAAGCUCCCAGGGAGCCGGGCACAGCUCAGUAUCAGUCUUGGUUUCACUUGAAAAAUGUACAGACCUUUUAUAAAUUAUAGGAAAGAGAUAAUGGAAUCCCUAUGCAUUUACUCUUCUCUUCAUAAACCAUGGCGAGAAUUUUUUUAAAAUUCCAUGUAUUCAGACUAGUUAAAAAAUAUGGAUAGGCUUUUGCUAAUUGUACAUUUUACUUGGUUUAAUAGAUAUAUAUAUUAGAGUAGAGCUACCAUUUGCUGUAUGUCACACGUGCCAGGCUCUGGGCUACGUACUUUCCAUGUAAAAACUCACUAUUCCUAGUGAAAAACCUUUCGGUUAAGUGUUCUACCUCCUAUUUACAGAAGAAUAAAUUGAGGCCCUGCAAGGAUUAAGGAAUCUGUACAAAGUCACACGCAGGCUGAACUAUGAAAAGCAACUAGAGGACAUUCUCCCCCUUGAAGAUAAUCACUUUUAUUGUUGCCGGGUCAAAGAUUCAGAUUCCACGCAGCAACCUCUGACUAAAGAACAGCAAGUCCUUUCAGAUUUCUUCUUUCGGUGGAUCGUGUAAAUUAGUGAGUUGCUUUCACGUCUUUUGGCCAGCUUCAGAGAAGAAUGAAGUACCCAAUGCUUGGUGAGAGGCAGUCCAUGUUCCGGAUGUAAAGCACUUCUCACUAUAUUAAUUGUCCGCUGGCUUAAUUUUUUCAUAUUCUGUCGAAUGCACUUUGCCUGCGUGUACGAAGGCAGCUUCCUCAUCAGAUGUGAGUUGGGAGCAUCCACAUGUACUCCACUGAUGCUCCCCAAACUUCCAAGAUAAAAAUUUCCACAAGGGGAAGAUAGCAGUCAAAUGUGAGAAGAAUAAUUUGCAAAUAGAUAAAUACGCAAAUAAAUAAAACUGUUCAUGGAGUUGUCUACUGGAAAACGAUGUGCCAAGGGCACAAUGAGCGAAAGUGAAGCUUGACAAUGAGUUAGGUCGCCAGAUGUGGCGCGGUGAUUUGGGGGGGCCCAGGGGAGCACCCAUGAGGAGAAAGGCUGGGUGUAAAUCAGUCAUAGCAACGCUCCACUGCACCUGGGGGGCCCUGAGGAAAUACGUUAGUGGUGAAUCAAGAGCCAGGCUCCAAGGCCCUGAGGCCAGUGUGCUGGGAGAGGGGCGUGUCAGAGGCACAUGGGAGAGGUGGGCCUGAAGACAGAGAGAAGCUCUAAGUCAAGCAAAGACCCAGGUUUCUAGAAGUGGUCAUGCAAAUAGCUGAGGUUCGCAGAUUCUAUUAUUUAAUAAUUAAAUGUAAAGAAGCAUUUAGCUUACGUCAACUAUUUUAGUUAGGAGAGCAAUAGUCACAAAGCAGCAGUUGUGAAAUUUAUAUGGAUUGGAAAAGGGUGUGAUAGACACGGGGUGGAAGAGUUUCCAUUUGUUUUGUUUUAAGCCACGGUCAAUGUGGGCUUUCAAAGUCAGAUGCCGAAGGAGGAAUUAAAUUAUCCAGUGAGUAUUAGAGAGUUAUUCUCAAACCGUAUUUUACUGUAAGAUGGGGUUAUUUUAAAUUCAGAAAAGCUAAUGAGCAUAAAGAAGACUGCAAAUCUUCUGGGACCAUGUGUCAGCUGAUCCACAGCUGCUGCAACCGAAAAGUCACAAAGCUUGCUGGGAAAUGGAGAACAAUGCAGACUCAGUUGUCAUGAAUAUCUUAUGUGAAGUUACUUUUUAGAGAAAUCUCCAAAUGCAAUCUCUAUAGGCAAACAUAUACAUUUGUAUAUAGAAAGAGUAAAGCUGUAAUCUUCAUUGAACACAGAGAUUUGUUUCUUUUGGGUUUUUUUAAAUUUGCAUUUCAUUGUUUUUCAUGAAAAUGAAUUUAAUGCUUGAAUUCUGUACAAGCAUCACAGGAAAAGGCUAUCAGGAAUCUGCAAGAGCCAUACAAGGUGUCCCUUAGAUAAAUAAUGGUCAGGAAAGGAAAUGUGUGAAUGAAAAGACCACGAUGUGCUGACUACGUUGAGGCACUGAGCAGAACAGACAGUGGGAGGCAACGACUGAGACAACCUGAGUUGAAAAAUAGUGUCUGGAAGACGCAGGGGUGUAUACAGUGUCUAAUAAAAUUCUGCAAAGAAGCUCAAAAGUGAUCACGUAUUUAUUGCAAGGGUAUUUUCAAAAUAAACUCAUUUUGAAUUAUUCACUCUUCCCCUCUCCCCACCAAAAAAACAACCUAUUAUGAAUUAGUUUGGAGUAAACGUUUUCACAGGUUUUCAACUGGUUGUACCACACACUCUUAAAAUAAAGGUAUUACACAUUCCAAAAACAUUUCAACUCUUACAUGAGCCUAAAGAUAACACCGCUUCAGUCAGCAUUAUAAGCAACACCA
rnacentral:lncRNA from 1 species